rnacentral:rRNA from 1 species
UACGAAGGGGGCUAGCGUUGCUCGGAAUCACUGGGCGUAAAGGGUGCGUAGGCGGGUCUUUAAGUCAGGGGUGAAAUCCUGGAGCUCAACUCCAGAACUGCCUUGAUACUGAAGAUCUUGAGUUCGGGAGAGGUGAGUGGAACUGCGAGUGUAGAGGUGAAAUUCGUAGAUAUUCGCAAGAACACCAGUGGCGAAGGCGGCUCACUGGCCCGAUACUGACGCUGAGGCACGGAAAGCG